ACUUAAAUUACAGAAGUCAUGGGUCUGCAAAGGUCUUAGUUCUGGAGUCUCUGACAGUGUGGAGUGAUGAAUGAGUCACUGGUAGCAGGGCCAGAGGAAUAAACAAACAGUUUCUUCACCUGUAGAAAUGGGGAUAAUAAUUUUACCUAUCCCACAAGGAUUUGUUGUGAAGAUUAAAUUAAGUUCAUACAUACACCAGGAACUGAGAACCAGGCCUGGCAGGAAACACUUCACCGUAACCUCAAGAACCACUCCUCCUCGGCUCCAGAUCACACAUCCACCUGCCUGAUGACAGCUCCACUGGGGGGGCAUCCAAUAGGUGCACAUGUAUCUCUAAGACCCUAAGAAGCAGAACUGCCUAAGCAUUUGUGACUUCUGACACUGCUAACUACAUUGAGGUUGUUCCAAGAUAUACUCCCCCCAAAUGGUGUAUGUG